UGGUGUUGUAGUGAGAAAAAAAGAUGGUAAUCUGAUGGUGCCAUAUCUGGAGAAUAUGAUGGGCGGGGGAGAACUUCUCAAACCCAUCUCCAUAAUCUUGUGUUGCGUCAAACGUGCCAUACGUGGAUGUGCAUUGUCGUGGAGAAGAACACCUUUUCC